CAAGAGGAAAAGGACGCGAUGAGAAUACGCCAGGUUAAAAUAAUGAACAAGUCUCGUUUGUGCUCGUUCUUUCGUUUUAAUUACUGGUUCACCAGCCAGGGCGUGCUCCAUGCUCUCUUUUUCGCGUGCAAAUGUCCCGGUUUGAUGAGAUACAGCACGAUGAACAGCGCCAACGACAGAGAAAGAAACCCCGGCCCUCCCCCCGGUUCUAGAGCACAUGCCAAAGAACAUAUUUCUGGUGGAGGAAAAUUUUCAGAACGCCGCAGACUAAAGCUACCUUGAUAUGUACAAAACAUGGGAGACUACACACAGGAUUAUGAAUGGCUACCUGAACGCUGCUUGAAGCAGCGAGCUCUACAGCACCACUCAUGCCCCUUUCCAUGGGUUGGCAAGAGGAGCAGUGGCACACAACUCUACAGGCACUUGUGCUUUUCACCAUCUUUGGAGGAGAUGCAUUGGGUGCUCCAUACCAUGCACUGCCAUUUCAAUACACCAAGGCUUUUCGUUUUGAUUCCUUCCCUUUUCAAGGCCACCACUGCUUGCACAGCAUCAUCAGCCUACCUUCCUUGAUCUUCAUGUUCCAUAUGGCAGAAGAAAAUACAAAAUGCCUACUCUGAAAUACAUGAGUGGCUCCAUGCAGCACUCCCUGCCGUCAGGGUGCUAGGACUUUGUGCAAAGAAAAUGUUCGUAAUGAUGCUAUAUGUGUACAGCCUUUGUGGUUAAGUGUUGCCCGCUUCGCCUAUGAGAGAAUUUCACACUUAUGGGCACUGUUAAAGGUUCAUGUGUUAAAUGUUUGACAUCCUAUAGAAAUUUUCAUGUUUCAGUAUGACAGCAAAAUUAUAGUUCAAUUGCUGCUUUUUGUAAUAUGCAAUAUACAGCUGAAGGUGAUUAGCAGUG